rnacentral:rRNA from 1 species
CCUGGUGGUUAUGGCGGAGCGGCUGCACCCGAUCCCAUUCCGAACUCGGCCGUGAAACGCUCCAGCGCCAAUGGUACUUCGUCUCCAGACGCGGGAGAGUAGGUCGCUGCCAGGU